UACGAAGGGUGCUAGCGUUGUUCGGAAUCACUGGGCGUAAAGGGCGCGUAGGCGGCUUUGUAAGUCGGGGGUGAAAGCCUGUGGCUCAACCACAGAAUUGCCUUCGAUACUGCAUGGCUUGAGACUGGAAGAGGUUAGUGGAACUGCGAGUGUAGAGGUGAAAUUCGUAGAUAUUCGCAAGAACACCAGUGGCGAAGGCGGCUGACUGGUCCGGUUCUGACGCUGAGGCGCGAAAGCGUGGGGAGCAAACAGG
rnacentral:rRNA from 1 species